rnacentral:lncRNA from 1 species
CGGAGGGCUGGCCCUGCCCUUCAUGCAUGCCUGCACGUUCACACAUUACAUUGACUUGAUAAGCUAUCAUUGGCGUUGUUGGAACCAGUGCUUUUGGUUGGUGUGGCAAAGAGCCUGAACCCUAAAUUGUGUCUUGCAUUCUCGAAGAAAACUAAGGUCCGGUCUAAAUUAUAGGUCAUUUAAACUUUUUUCUAGAUGUAUAAAUAUUAUUAUGCAUAUAAACAUAGGGUAUAUCUAAGUACAUAACAAAGUUUAUGAAUCUAACAAAGCUAAAACGACCUAUAAGGACGGAGGGAGUAGUAACUAAUUGGGUCUUUGUCUCUUGCAUUAUCUUUGUCAAUUCUAUAGAGAUUGAGAGCUUUGCAAUAUUGGCUCAGCUUUAACACUAUGGAUUCGCCAUCUAGGACAUGAAAGACACAUAAUAAUGAUGAAGCAUACGUGGAGGAAUGGCCCUAAAGUCUUAAUCAUGUGGGGCUGCUGGAACUUAGUAUGGUUGUCUCUUGUCCAAUUUGACAAUGGCAAAAAUAGAUCUGUUCCGAUAGCACAUGCAACGUAUAGCCGUCUGUCGCCUGAAAACGCUAUGUGGGCUGGCUAGUGAUUCUUUUAUUUUCAGCCCAAGUUAACUAUCCACCCUCCUACUAUUUUAUUUUUCGACCCAAGUUAGCUAUACACGUGAAGGGAGAGCCGGAGAGGUGCCUCCGGUUUCUUUAUUUUCCGUGUUUUUUUUUCUUUUUUCCAUCUGUUAUUUCUUUCAUUAUCUUCUGUAUGUUUUCUUUCAUUCUUUUUUUGUUUUCCGUUAUUUAUUUCUCUUCUCCGGUUAACAUAUUUUUUUCUGUUCUUUUUCCUUUUUUCUUACGGAGGCUUUUAUUUUUUACUCUUUUUCUGUUACUUUUCUGUUAAUUUAUUUUCCGAGCUCAUACAAUUCUGUUAAUUUAUUUUGCGAGCUCAUACAAUUCUAUUAUGACUGUUUUUCCUUCUUUUUACUUUCACUUACAUUUCAAUUCAUUUCACUUCUCUUUUAUUUUUCUAUUAUCUUUUCUUCUAUACUCCUCAAAUAGAUAUACUUUAUCUUAUUUGUAUUGCUAUGUAUUAUUAUUCAUACAUUUCUUUCUAUUUCAUGUACAAAUAAUGAUCUUUCUAUUUUUUCUGUUUUCGUGUUUUAGAAAAAGUAUGCAUAUUUUUCUAUUUAUUUAUGUUCUGCUUCCUUCAAUCUUCCAUUUUCACUUUUGUUCUUCCCCAUCUAAUAUUUAUUUUGUGAGUUCGUGUAAUAAUUUUUUCAGUGCAUACAACUAUUUUGUUCUGUAAUUUAAUACAAUUUAUUUCAAAUUUAUAAAUCUUUUUGUCUCUCAAAUUUUUAUAAUUUAUUAUUGUAUAUUUUUGCUAUAUAAGUUGUAUAAUUUGUUGGAUGUGUAUAAUUGUUUUGUUCCAUAAGUUCAUAUAAUUUAUUCGGCAAUGUGUAUGUAUUUAUUUGUGAUAUUCAAUUUCUAUUGUUUUGCACUGUAUAAUAAAUUGUUCGUGACUUGAAUUAUUUUUGUUCGGAGUGUAUUAUUAUUUUGUUCGUCAUGUUUAAUUAUUUGUUCGCGGAAAAUAAUUAUUUUUUCCAUUAAUUCGUAUAAUUUGUUCGGUUAGUUUAUGUAACUGUUCGAUAAAUACAAUUAUUUUGUUCUUUGAGUUUGUAUAAUUUUUUUAAUGCAUAUGUAUUUGAAAAUAUACCAACUUGAUGUUUAUAUUCUACUAUUUAAGUUUUUAAUAUUUUUUUAUAAUAUAUUAUUAUUUUUAUGUCUUUUUUAUUCACAUCAUAUAACUCAUGUGUUCUCAAUGUUCAAUAUUUC